rnacentral:rRNA from 1 species
CCUACGGGAGGCAGCAGUGGGGAAUAUUGCACAAUGGGGGAAACCCUGAUGCAGCAACGCCGCGUGAGCGAUGAAGGCCUUCGGGUCGUAAAGCUCUGUCCUAAGGGAAGAAUACUGACGGUACCUUAGGAGGCAGCCCCGGCUAACUACGUGCCAGCAGCCGCGGUAAUACGUCGGGGGCUAGCGUUAUCCGUAAUUACUGGGGGUAAAGGGUUCGUAGGCGGCCCUUCAAGUCAGAGGUGAAAGGCUACGGCUCAACCGAAGUACGCCUUUGAAAGUGUUGGGCUUGAGUGCAGGAGCGGAGAGUUGAAUUUUCAGUGUGGUGUUGAAAAGCGUAGAUGUUUGGAGGAACACCAGUUGCGAGGGCGGCUGUCUGGACUGUAACUGGCGCUGAGGCACGCAAGCGUGGGGAGCGAACAGGAUUAGAUACCCGAGUAGAC